AGAUUGAACGCUGGCGGCAUGCCUAACACAUGCAAGUCGAACGGCAGCGCGGGUAGCAAUACCUGGCGGCGAGUGGCGGACGGGUGAGGAAUACAUAGGAAUCUACCCUGUCGUGGGGGAUAACGUAGGGAAACUUACGCUAAUACCGCAUACGACCGAGAGGUGAAAGCGGCGGACCGCAAGGCGUCGCGCGGCUGGAUGAGCCUAUGUCCGAUUAGCUAGUUGCGGGUAAGAGCCCACAAGGCGACGAUCGGUAGCUGGUCUGAGAGGAUGAUCAGCCACACUGGGACUGAGACACGGCCCAGACUCCGUACGGGAGCAGCAGGUGGGGAAUAGUUGGACAAGUGGGCGCAAGCCUGAUCCGAGCAAGUGCCGCGUGUGUAGAAGAGGCCGUUGGUUAGUAAGUCUACGUUUAG
rnacentral:rRNA from 1 species